rnacentral:rRNA from 1 species
CCUGUUUAACAAAAACAUGUCUUUUUGAGUUAUUUUUAAAGUCUGACCUGCCCACUGAAAUUUUUAAAUGGCCGCAGUAUUCUAACUGUGCAAAGGUAGCAUAAUCAUUAGUCUUUUAAUUGAAGGCUGGUAUGAACGGUUGGACGAAGUACAAGCUGUUUCAUAUAAAUUUAUAAUAGAAUUUUAUAUUUUAGUUAAAAAGCUAAAAUGUAAUUAAAAGACGAGAAGACCCUAUAAAUCUUUAUAUUUUAUUUUAUUUAAAUUUUUUGGAUUUGGUUUAUUUUUAUAUAAUAAAAUAUUUUGUUGGGGUGAUAUUAAAAUUUAAUGAACUUUUAGUUUUUUAAAAUCAUUAAUUUAUGAAUUAUUGAUCCAUUAAUAGUGAUUAUAAGAUUAAGUUACUUUAGGGAUAACAGCGUAAUUUUUUUGGAGAGUUCAUAUCGAUAAAAAAGUUUGCGACCUCGAUGUUGGAUUAAGAUAUAAUUUUAGGUGUAGUCGCUUAAAU